rnacentral:tRNA from 1 species
GCCGGGGUCUCCUAGCCAGGUAUGGAGCAGGCCUGGAGAGCCUGUGGUCCAUUCGGGCCACGUGGGUUCGAAUCCCACCCCCGGCGCCA